CAAAAGUUGAUGCUGGAUCUCUAACUGAUUCGGAUGUGUGUGAGGUUUCAUUUAGUGGAUUAUGAACAGGUCCUGAUGUCAGACCUUGCAUUGAAUGGGUUCUUUGUCCAUCCAUGGAAUAAGGUGAUGCCUUAUAAGGAGUUUGUGUGAAACCUGAUGGCUGACCUUGAUUUUGAUGCUGUCCUCCUUGUCCUGCCAUAUAAGAGGGUGCAGAUGACCAUUGUGAACCCUGCGUGAAACCUGAUGGGCGACCUUGCAUUUGCUGUGAUCCCAUGAAAGAGUGCGCUGAAGCAUCUUGUUGGGGCACGAAAGAAGGUGGAGAUGCUUGUUGCACGUUUCUUGCAAAAGCUGAUGGCUGACCUUGCAUCUGCUGCGAUCCUUGUCCAGCCAUGAAAGACGGUGGUGAAGCUCCGUGUUGAAUAAAAGAAGGUGAUGCCUGAUGUGAAUUUCUUGCAAAUGUUGAUGGCUGAUCUUGCAUUUGCUGCGGUACUUGUCCGGCAAUAAAAGAGGGUGGUGAAGCUUGUUG
rnacentral:misc_RNA from 1 species